AAUCAACGCUGGCGGCGUGCCUAACACAUGCAAGUCGAACGAGAAAGUGGAGCAAUCCAUGAGUAAAGUGGCGACCGGGUGAGUAACACGUGACUAACCUACCUUCAAGUGGGGGAUAACCUCGGGAAACCGGGGCUAAUACCGCAUAAUAUCUUUGGGAUGGAAAUUCUGGAGAUCAAAGGAGCAAUUCGCUGGAAGAGGGGGUCGCGGCUGAUUAGCUAGUUGGCGGGGUAAUGGCCCACCAAGGCUUUGAUCGGUAGCCGGCCUGAGAGGGCGC
rnacentral:rRNA from 1 species